rnacentral:rRNA from 1 species
GAGAAGCCACCUUCGUGGUGGUGGAAAGUGGCAGACGGGUGAGUAACGCGUGGGAACGUACCCUUUGGUUCGGAACGACUCCGGGAAACUGGAGCUAAAACCGGAUCAGCCCUACGGGGGAAAGAUUUAUCGCCGAAGGAUCGGCCCGCGUCGGAUUAGCUAGUUGGUGAGGUAACGGCUCACCAAGGCUACGAUCCGUAGCUGGUCUGAGAGGAUGAUCAGCCACACUGGGACUGAGACACGGCCCAGACUCCUACGGGAGGCAGCAGUGGGGAAUAUUGGACAAUGGGCGCAAGCCUGAUCCAGCCAUGCCGCGUGAGUGAUGAAGGCCUUACGGUUGUAAAGCUCUUUCGCCAGGGACGAUAAUGACGGUAUCUGGAUAAGAAGCCCCGGCUAACUACGUGCCAGCAGCCGCGGUAAUACGAAGGGGGCUAGCGUUGUUCGGAAUCACUGGGCGUAAAGCGCAUGCAGGCGGAUCGCUAAGUCAGGGGUGAAAGCCCGAGGCUCAACCUCUGAACUGCCUUUGAUACUGACGAUCUUGAGUCCGGGAGAGGUGAGUGGGACUCCGAGUGUAGAGGUGAAA